rnacentral:rRNA from 1 species
AGAGCACAAGGAGAAUGCCUUGGCACUAGGAGCCGAUGAAAGACGUGGUAAGCUGCGAAAAGCUUCGGGGAGGCGCAAACAGCCAUCGAUCCGGAGAUAUCUGAAUGGGGAAACCUACUUGAGCAAACCUCAAGUAUCCAUACGUGAAUCCAUAGCGUAUGGAAGGGAACGCUGUGAACUGAAACAUCUAAGUAGCAGUAGGAGGAGAAAGAAAACUCGAUUUCCUAAGUAGCGGCGAGCGAACGGGAAAGAGGCCAAACCGAAGGACCUGGUUCUUCGGGGUUGCGGACUGCAAUUAGCAUUGCUGAGAGAUAGACGAAUGGUUUUGGGAAAGCCAGCCGUAGACGGUGAAAGCCCGGUAGACGAAAUCUUGAAGCAGCGAGCAGGAUCCAGAGUACCACGAGACACGAGAAACCUUGUGGGAAGCCGGGGGGACCACCCCCCAAGCCUAAAUACUCCCUAGUGACCGAUAGUGAAGCAGUACUGUGAAGGAAAGGUGAAAAGGACCCCGGGAGGGGAGUGAAAGAGAACCUGAAACCUUGUGCUUACAAACAGUCAAAGGCCUACGCAAGUCUGAUGGCGUACUUUUUGUAGAACGGUCCGGCGAGUUACUAAUGCCAGCGAGGUUAAGAUGUCAGAAGCAUCGGAGCCGAAGGGAAACCAAGUCUGAAUAGGGCGUAGAGUUGGUAUUAGUAGACCCGAAACCGGGUGACCUAUCCAUGUCCAGGUUGAAGGAACCGUAAAAGGUUUUGGAGGACCGAACACACAUGUGUUGAAAAACGUGGUGAUGAGGUGUGGAUAGCGGAGAAAUUCCAAUCGAACUCGGAGAUAGCUGGUUCUCCUCGAAAUAGCUUUAGGGCUAGCCUCGAGCUGGAGUCUAACGGAGGUAAAGCACUGAACUGACGCGGGGCCCAAAAAGGUUACCAACUCAUAUCAAACUAAGAAUGCCGUCAAGAUACCCUCGGGAGUCAGUCUGCGUGAGAUAAGUCGCGUGGACAAAAGGGAAAGAGCCCAGACCGACAGCUAAGGUCCCAAAGUACGUGUUAAGUGGAAAAGGAUGUGGGAUUUCAUAGACAACUAGGAUGUUGGCUUAGAAGCAGCCAUACAUUUAAAGAGUGCGUAAUAGCUCACUAGUCGAGAAAACCUGCGCCGAAAAUGUAACGGGGCUAAAACACGACACCGAAGCUACGGAUUUCCUACAAGGUAGGAAGUGGUAGAGGAGCAUCCUGCAAGGACGAAGCCAAAGUGAGAGCGAUGGUGGACGAAACAGGAGAGAGAAUGCCGGAAUGAGUAGCGAGAUACAUGUGAGAAACAUGUAGGCCGAAUAUCUAAGGAUUCCUGGGUAAAGCUAAUCUUCCCAGGGUUAGUCGGGGCCUAAGGCGAGGACGAAAGUCGUAGUCGAUGGAUAACAGGUUGAUAUUCCUGUACUACACAUAAUCAGAACUGUGGGGACGCAGGAGGAUAGGGAAACCGGGGAAUGGAAAGACCCGGUCAAGCGUAAAGCUGUGGGAGAUAGGCAAAUCCGUCUUCUGUAAGUGAAACGUGAUGAGGACUGAAAAAAAGUAAGGAAGUUUCCGAAUCCACACUGCCGAGAAAAGCCGCUAUUGCGUUAUGUGUACCCGUACCGUAAACCGACACAGGUAGAUGAGGAGAAAAUCCACAGGCCGACGGGAGAAGUGUUGUUAAGGAACUCGGCAAAAUGACCCCGUAACUUCGGGAUAAGGGGAGCCUCGCAAGAGGCCGCAGAAAAGAGGCACAAGCAACUGUUUAGCAAAAACAUAGGUCUAUGCGAAACCGUAAGGUGAAGUAUAUGGGCUGACGCCUGCCCGGUGCUGGAAGGUUAAAAGGAGAGGUCAGCGCAAGCGAAGCUUUGAAUUCAAGCCCCAGUAAACGGCGGCCGUAACUAUAACGGUCCUAAGGUAGCGAAAUUCCUUGUCAGGUAAGUUCUGACCCGCACGAAAGGCGUAAUGAUUUGUGCACUGUCUCGACAACACGCCCGGUGAAAUUGAAGAACCAGUGAAGAUACUGGUUACCCGCAACAGGACGGAAAGACCCCAUGGAGCUUUACUGCAGCCUGAUACUGGGAUUCGAUGAUAUAUGUACAGGAUAGGUGGGAGGCUAAGAAGCGAGAACGCUAGUUUUCGUGGAGCCGCCGGUGGGAUACCACUCUUAUGUCAUUGAAUUUCUAACCUGCAUCCGUAAUCCGGGUGAGGGACAAUGUCAGGCGGGCAGUUUGACUGGGGCGGUCGC